UCAACAUAUGAUAUAACAUCACUUCCAUUUGACUAGGAACUGACAAAGCACCGACAGGUUGAAGAUGAAAUUUUAUGUCUUCUCCACAUAGAGCAAGCACAUGGAAGGUACUUGACAGUAUGGCUAUAAUAGCUUCAAUCCACAUUAUUCAUAUAGUUAUUUUUAGUGGCGGAAAUAAAACCGAAAAGCAAUAAGACUCAUCUCUGCGAUCUAAGAUUGUAAACCAGGUCCAUGCACUUCGCACAUUUGCAGUCAAUAAAAGAAAACACAAUUACACCCUUAUAGUCUACACUUUUUCCUAUAG